rnacentral:rRNA from 1 species
CACGUAGGGCGCAAGCGUUGUCCGGAAUUAUUGGGCGUAAAGAGCUCGUAGGCGGUCUGUCGCGUCAGGAGUGAAAACUCGGGGCUUAACCCCGAGCCUGCUUCUGAUACGGGCAGACUAGAGGUAUGCAGGGGAGAACGGAAUUCCUGGUGUAGCGGUGAAAUGCGCAGAUAUCAGGAGGAACACCGGUGGCGAAGGCGGUUCUCUGGGCAUUACCUGACGCUGAGGAGCGAAAGUGUGGGGAGCGAACAGG